rnacentral:rRNA from 1 species
GAUGAACGCUGGCGGCGUGCCUAAUACAUGCAAGUCGAGCGAACGGACGAGAAGCUUGCUUCUCUGAUGUUAGCGGCGGACGGGUGAGUAACACGUGGAUAACCUACCUAUAAGACUGGGAUAACUUCGGGAAACCGGAGCUAAUACCGGAUAAUAUUUUGAACCGCAUGGUUCAAAAGUGAAAGACGGUCUUGCUGUCACUUAUAGAUGGAUCCGCGCUGCAUUAGCUAGUUGGUAAGGUAACGGCUUACCAAGGCAACGAUGCAUAGCCGACCUGAGAGGGUGAUCGGACACACUGGAACUGAGACACGGUCCAGACUCCUACGGGAGGCAGCAGUAGGGAAUCUUCCGCAAUGGGCGAAAGCCUGACGGAGCAACGCCGCGUGAGUGAUGAAGGUCUUCGGAUCGUAAAACUCUGUUAUUAGGGAAGAACAUAUGUGUAAGUAACUGUGCACAUCUUGACGGUACCUAAUCAGAAAGCCGCGGCUAACUACGUG